rnacentral:tRNA from 1 species
GCCAGCGCAGCACGACGGGUCGUGCACCGGCUUCGUAUCCCGGAGGUAGGGCGUUCGAGUCGCCCCGCUGGCU